rnacentral:rRNA from 1 species
CGCGGCCUAUCAGCUUGUUGGUGGGGUGAUGGCCUACCAAGGCGACGACGGGUAACCGGCCUGAGAGGGCGACCGGUCACACUGGGACUGAGACACGGCCCAGACUCCUACGGGAGGCAGCAGUGGGGAAUAUUGCGCAAUGGGCGGAAGCCUGACGCAGCGACGCCGCGUGGGGGAUGACGGCCUUCGGGUCGUAAACCCCUUUCAGCAGGGACGAAGCGGAAGUGACGGUACCUGCAGAAGAAGCGCCGGCUAACUACGUGCCAGCAGCCGCGGUAAUACGUAGGGCGCAAGCGUUGUCCGGAAUUAUUGGGCGUAAAGAGCUCGUAGGCGGUUUGUCGCGUCCGUCGUGAAAGCCCACAGCUUAACUGUGGGUCUGCGGUGGAUACGGGCAGACUAGAGGCAGGUAGGGGAGAACGGAAUUCCCGGUGUAGCGGUGAAAUGCGCAGAUAUCGGGAGGAACACCGGUGGCGAAGGCGGUUCUCUGGGCCUGUACUGACGCUGAGGAGCGAAAGCGUGGGGAGCGAGCAGGAUUAGAUACCCUGGUAGUCCACGCCGUAAACGUUGGGCGCUAGGUGUGGGGUCCUUCCACGGAUUCCGCGCCGUAGCUAACGCAUUAAGCGCCCCGCCUGGGGAGUACGG